rnacentral:rRNA from 1 species
UACAGAGGGGGCGAGCGUUAUUCGGAAUUAUUGGGCGUAAAGAGCGUGUAGGCGGCCAGAUAGGUCAGCUGUGAAAACUCGAGGCUCAACCUCGAGAUGUCGGCUGAAACCAUCUGGCUAGAGUCCGGAAGAGGAGAAUGGAAUUCCCGGUGUAGCGGUGAAAUGCGCAGAUAUCGGGAAGAACACCCGUGGCGAAGGCGGUUCUCUGGGACGGUACUGACGCUGAGACGCGAAAGCGUGGGGAGCGAACAGG